GGAGCAUAUCGCCAACGGCAGGUGUGCAGGGUCGCGCCCUGUGUCCCGGUUCGACUCCGGGUGCUCCGC
rnacentral:tRNA from 1 species